rnacentral:rRNA from 1 species
GACGAACGCUGGCGGCGUGCUUAACACAUGCAAGUCGAACGAGUGGCGAACGGGUGAGUAAUACGUGGGUAACCUGCCCCCUUUUUGGGAUAAGCCUUGGAAAAGGGGUCUAAUACCGAAGAUUGGGGGAUGGGCUCGCGGACUAUCAGCUUGUUGGUGGGGUGAUGGCCUACCAAGGCGGCGACGGGUAGCCGUUGUGAGAGGGUGAGCGGCCACAUUGGGACUGAGACACGGCCCAGACUCCUACGGGAGGCAGCAGUGGGGAAUCUUCCGCAAUGGGGGGAAGUCUGACGGAGCAACGCCGCGUGAGUGAAGACGGCCUUCGGGUUGUAAAGCUCGUUAAUCAGGACGACGGUACCGAAAUAGAAAGCCACGGCUAACUACGUGCCAGCAGCCGCGGUAAUAC